UGAACCAGCGGAGGGAUCAUUAGCGAGUGCAAACUCCAUAAACCCAC
rnacentral:rRNA from 1 species